AACCCAUGGUGAGGGAAUUCUUUACGGUAAUCAUUGAAUCACUCUCAUGCAUCGCAGAACGGUUCGUCAGUGAUCUGUCUGAAAGAGGAGAUCUUGUUCCUCAAACC
rfam:Brassica napus, WGS project CCCW01000000 data, contig: 20718